GGGCUUGUUAUCCAGUGGUUAAGAUGCAUCCUUGACGUGGAUGAAACCCAGGUUCGAAUCCUGGCAGGCCCA
rnacentral:tRNA from 1 species